UAGCAUAACUGAAAUUGUAGCUCGGGAGAUAAAAAGGAGUGGUUCCACUCCCCGUCACAAGAGAUCACUUCAAAAAGGUUUCCCCGUAACCCGAAGUAAACAGAAGUUUGAGUUUCAGCAGUGACAUUUUAUGGUCUUGUGUAGCCAAAUCGGCAAAAAUGGUGCAUUUAGCUGCGACAAUCCACGUCCAUGACGCUGGCUAGAAUUCUUUCGUUGUAGUUCGAGCCCCGUAUUUGCUCUGACUAUGGUCAUAGUUUGUUAGAACCAUACCCAGGCUUUAUUUCCAUAUGACAAUAGUCCAUUAGUUUCAUACACUGGAGAGUAAAUACUGUCAGGUUGUGAGCCCAAACUUGACAAAUAUUUCCCUUUACAAAUCUCUAAAUGUGUGUAUGCUGAAUACUGUUGCGCUAAAAGAGUCAAUAUUUCCUGUUCAUAAUUACACAUAGGCUAAUGUGCUUCACUCACAGCCAUCUUUGCACAAUACGGAAUUAACUCCUUUGCAUAAUGUUUAAGAGAUUUCCGCUGUAGUUUUAUGUGUCAGAGUUUGUGUUCAAUACCACAUUGCUAUACCCGUCGAUGAUUCUACAGUUGGUGUGCAGACGACGGUAUGGGGCACUGGAAGUGGUGUGCUUGGAUUGGGUACAUACAUAUGCUGAUUCUAGCUGGAGGUACGCCAGAUUUCCAACAACCGUACAUCGCUGCACCAGACACAGCUCACGUGGACAGGAGUGUGACGUUGUCCUGCUAUAGUGUCUACCGGUAUCGUGGUGAUGAUGUAGACGCGUCCAUUAACUGGAGGAAGAACGGUUUGCCGCUAGAAGAAAGCUCUGAAUACAACAUAAGACAGAGUCAUGAUCGGUGGACGGUACCAUAUACCAUAUAUGACAUCUACAGAAGUACCCUCACUGUCAGUGACGUGAACACAGCGAAGGGAGAUAACUUCCAGUGUCAGGUUGUAAUAGGACAGAGAGCGGCGUCAGGAUGGAGUGAAGUGUAUGUACUGGUUAAACAAUGUAAGUGAAUGAUAUUGAAAUUCGGACGUAAGAAGUAUUAAAAAAUGUAUUUGGCGUAUCAGUUAUAACAUGGAUAUGGCAAUUAAAUAUUUAUGAUAAAACCGCCCAUUCACAAGGAAGUGACCUGAAUUGUUCUCUCCUGUACUGUCACCACAAAG